UUAUAAUAUUAAAAAAAUAAAAAUUAAAAAAUUAGAAAAAAAACCUUGCGCAACGUCACAAUAUGGUUGUUGCGCAAAAGCACUUUGCGCAACAUCAAAAUGUAUACGUGUGUCGUGCCAUUUGUGAUAAUUUUGGCGGUGCAAUAGUAAAAAAUAGGCGUGUUUUUUUAAAAAAUUUCCCAAGUUUUCGCAAGCCAAAACCCUUCUGCUUUCAAAUCUCUCUCACGCCGUCUCUUUCAUCCUAUCUCUAUUCCCAAACCAAACCCAAAUCCUUCUCCACUCCAGCCAACUAUCCUCCUCAGCCAAUUCCACCUGAGUUCCAAAAUCACUCUCAGACUCUCAGUCCCUCGACUCCCUUCCCUCGACUCUCCAACUCUCAAUUGUCCUCCUCCUCAUAGUGCUCACCAGCCAUCACCGCCGUCAAGCAACGCAACGGCACCACCCAUCAUCCUUUUCGACGACAUCCCAAAGAACCCAGGCCAUCACCCCAUCACCCCCGCCGUUGCGACCACCAUCACCCCAUCACUGUCGUCGAGGACACUGCUACCAACCAUCAUCCCUCUAAAAUUUAGUUGGACAGGCCAAAGACAUAUCAGAUUUAGGUUCCUUGAAGGAGGCAGCAAAAAUCUUCAUCCCAGGAUUUGGAUGCAUUCUCAGCUGCAGUGAUUGUUAGUAUUGCAUUUUCAUUCAUUCCUUCAUCAUUUGUCGUUCCUAUUGUGAAGUUAAUG